GAUGAACGCUGGCGGCGUUCCUAAUACAUGCAAGUCGAGCGAACAGACGAGGAGCUUGCUCCUCUGACGUUAGCGGCGGACGGGUGAGUAACACGUGGAUAACCUACCUAUAAGACUGGGAUAACUUCGGGAAACCGGAUCUAAUACCGGAUCAUAUAUGUACCCGCAUGGUCCAAUAGUGAAAGACGGUUUUGCUGUCACUUAUAGAUGGAUCCGCUCCGCAUUAGCUAGUUGGUAAGGUAACGGCUUACCAAGGCAACGAUGCGUAGCCGCCCUGAAAGGGAGAUAGGCCACUCUGGAACUUAGACACGGUCCAGCCUCCUACGGGAGGCAGCAGUAGGGUAUCUUCCGCAAUGGGCGAAAGCCUAACGUAGCAACGCCGCGUGAGUGAUGAAGAUCUUCGGCUCGUAAAACUCUGUUAUUAGGGAAAAACAAAUGUGUAAGUAACUAUGCACGUCUUGACGGUACCUAAUCAGAAAGCCCCGGCUAACUACGUG
rnacentral:rRNA from 1 species